rnacentral:rRNA from 1 species
UACGUAGGGGGCGAGCGUUGUCCGGAUUUAUUGGGCGUAAAGAGCGUGUAGGCGGCCAGGUAGGUCUGCUGUGAAAACUCGAGGCUCAACCUCGAGACGUCGGCGGAAACCAUCUGGCUAGAGUCCGGAAGAGGAGAGUGGACUUCCUGGUGUAGCGGUGAAAUGCGCAGAUAUCAGGAAGAACACCCGUGGCGAAGGCGGCUCUCUGGGACGGUACUGACGCUGAGACGCGAAAGCGUGGGGAGCGAACAGG